GGAAGGGCCAAGAGGUUGAGGGUGGCCAGCACUUCAGCGGCUCCCCACCUGGCCUUGCAUCGCCUCCCAGCAGGGGUGGGGAGGGCUCCGGAGUAGACCCUCGGCCCCCUCUGGUUUUGCCUGUGACCUCAGUGUAGCUGGCAGGGACAGCCAGCUGAGCCAGGUAGGGUGUGUGUGAUCCCCUGUGGGCGCAGAGACUCUGGAGAAGGUCCUAGAAGGGCAGAAGAAGCCCUGAUGAGCCAGGAGGCCGGGACCCACCCCUGGCUCCCUGAAUGGCCUUGGGUGAGCCCUUUGCCCUCUCAGCCCUCUGGGCCGCUCACUGUCUCCCCAUUUGUACAGUGAAGAGACUGAGCUGCAGGGCUCCAAGGAUGCUGUCAUCGCUCAACCCCUGAUGGUGUGGUACAGGCCCCCACCCCUGCCAGCUGGAAGUCCAGGGCCCAUCACCAGGGACAACCAGGGUCCCAGGGAGGAGAAGAAUGAUGGGAAGGACUGAUGGACC
rnacentral:lncRNA from 1 species